rnacentral:misc_RNA from 1 species
AACGCACGAGACCUGCGGACCUGCGGAGGGAUCAUUACAGAGUUGCAAAACUCCCAAACCAUUGUGAACGUUACCUUCUCGUUGCUUCGGCGGGCGGCCCGGGUCCUUCCCGGCGCCCCCCGGCCCCUCGCGGGCGCCCGCCGGAGGUAAACCAAACUCUUGAAUUGUAUGGCCUCUCUGAGUCUUCUGUACUGAAUAAGUCAAAACUUUUAACAACGGAUCUCUAGAUCGGAAGAGCAC